rnacentral:rRNA from 1 species
ACUGUUAGGCUUGGGACCGGGAGAGGUGGGAGGUACUCCAGGGGUAGGGGUGAAAUCUCGUAAUCCUUGGGGGACCACCGAUGGCGAAGGCAUCCCACCAGAACGGGUCCGACGGUGAGGGACGAAAGCUGGGGGCACGAACCGGAUUAGAUACCCGGGUAGUCCCAGCUGUAAACUAUGCUCGCUAGGUGUCAGGUGCGGUGCGACCGCAU